rfam:Salmo salar isolate Sally breed double haploid chromosome ssa09, whole genome shotgun sequence.
GUGAAGAGACAUGAGAGGUGUAGAAUAAGUGGGAGGCCCCGGCCGCCGGUGAAAUACCACUACUCUUAUCGUUUUUCAC